CAGCCGCCGCGGGAAUACGGAGGGUGCAAGCGUUAUCCGGAUUUAUUGGGUUUAAAGGGUCCGUAGGCGGAUCUGUAAGUCAGUGGUGAAAUCUCACAUCUUAACUGUGAAACUGUCAUUGAUACUGCAGGUCUUGAGUAAAUUUGAAGUGGCUGGAAUAAGUAGUGUAGCGGUGAAAUGCAUAGAUAUUACUUAGAACACCAAUUGCGAAGGCAGGUCACUAAGAUUUAACUGACGCUGAUGGACGAAAGCGUGGGGAGCGAACAGGAUUAGAUACCCCUGUAGUCCCUGUCUCUUAUAC
rnacentral:rRNA from 1 species